rnacentral:rRNA from 1 species
GAUGCCCUGGCAGUCAGAGGCGAUGAAGGGCGUACUAAUCUGCGAUAAGCGCCGGUAAGGUGAUAUGAACCGUUAUAACCGGCGAUACCCGAAUGGGGAAACCCAGUGUGAUUCGUCACACUAUCAUUAACUGAAUCCAUAGGUUAAUGAGGCGAACCGGGGGAACUGAAACAUCUAAGUACCCCGAGGAAAAGAAAUCAACCGAGAUUCCCCCAGUAGCGGCGAGCGAACGGGGAGGAGCCCAGAGCCUGAAUCAGCAUGUGUGUUAGUGGAAGCGUCUGGAAAGGCGCGCGAUACAGGGUGACAGCCCCGUACACAAAAGCGCAUGUGCUGUGAGCUCGAUGAGUAGGGCGGGACACGUGGUAUCCUGUCUGAAUAUGGGGGGACCAUCCUCCAAGGCUAAAUACUCCUGACUGACCGAUAGUGAACCAGUACCGUGAGGGAAAGGCGAAAAGAACCCCGGCGAGGGGAGUGAAAAAGAACCUGAAACCGUGUACGUACAAGCAGUGGGAGCACCCUUUGGGUGUGACUGCGUACCUUUUGUAUAAUGGGUCAGCGACUUAUAUUCUGUAGCAAGGUUAACCGAAUAGGGGAGCCGGAGGGAAACCGAGUCUUAACCGGGCGUUAAGUUGCAGGGUAUAGACCCGAAACCCGGUGAUCUAGCCAUGGGCAGGUUGAAGGUUGGGUAACACUAACUGGAGGACCGAACCGACUAAUGUUGAAAAAUUAGCGGAUGACCUGUGGCUGGGGGUGAAAGGCCAAUCAAACCGGGAGAUAGCUGGUUCUCCCCGAAAGCUAUUUAGGUAGCGCCUCGUGAAUUCAUCUCCGGGGGUAGAGCACUGUUUCGGCUAGGGGGCCAUCCCGGCUUACCAACCCGAUGCAAACUGCGAAUACCGGAGAAUGUUAUCACGGGAGACACACGGCGGGUGCUAACGUCCGUCGUGAAGAGGGAAACAACCCAGACCGCCAGCUAAGGUCCCAAAGUCAUGGUUAAGUGGGAAACGAUGUGGGAAGGCCCAGACAGCCAGGAUGUUGGCUUAGAAGCAGCCAUCAUUUAAAGAAAGCGUAAUAGCUCACUGGUCGAGUCGGCCUGCGCGGAAGAUGUAACGGGGCUAAACCAUGCACCGAAGCUGCGGCAGCGACACUGUGUGUUGUUGGGUAGGGGAGCGUUCUGUAAGCCUGUGAAGGUGUGUCGUGAGGC